UCCAAGAGAAAAGUCAAAUAUAGUAGGAAAAGACCACCUCAUGCUAAACACUUGGCUGCACCCCACAUUUUCUUAAUCCUUAAGGAAGAGUCACGUCUCCAGCAUCUUGAAGACUUUAUAUACACCUCCUAACAACAUGUUUAGUCUUACAAAUUAUCCCCAAUUGACCACCGAUUGAAAGAGAAAGCAAAAAGGAAAAGAGAGAAGCAGAAACAAGGAGCCGAAAUUGAAUUUCUGGAUAGGUGAUUUUCCGACGUUGAGUGAAAAAGGAAAGUGAUAUAAUCUCCGUAGGAGCUUGUGCACACACAAGGGCAAAAAGGUGAGCAUGGAACUAUGUAGAGGGCACGGCUAGCUAUGGAGCUCUUACGGGAUUCCAAAGAUCAAUGUACAUGGAUGACGA